GCUCGGCUUCGCGGUGUCGCGGCGGGCGCCGACGUGUCCGAAGCGAUUCUGGUACCAUCUUGAAAUUGGCGGAGGGAAGCAGGACGAGAGAGACGCACUCAUCGGCGAGGAAGGCAGGCCCCGUCCGGGGAUCUUGGAAACCCUGCGGACCAUCAUGAAGUUCCAGUAUCAGGAGGACCAUCCCUUCGAAUAUCGGAAAAAGGAAGGAGAAAAGAUCCGGAAGGAAUAUCCGGACAGGGUCCCUGUGAUCGUGGAGAAGGCUCCGAGAGCCAGGGUGCCUGAUCUGGACAAGCGGAAGUACCUAGUGCCCUCUGACCUCCCUGUUGGCCAGUUCGACUUCUUAAUCCGGAAGAGGAGCCACCUGAGACCUGAGGACGCCUUAUUUUUCUUUGUCAACAACACUACCCCUCCCACUAGUGCUGCGAUGGGCCAGCUGUAUGAGGACAACCAUGAGGAAGACUAUUUUCUGCAUGUGGCCUACAGUGAUGAGAGUCUAUGGGAAGUGAUUGGUGGAAGCCCAGCAGAUGGGAGCACCUGGACUUGGGGGUAGGGGAGGGGUGUGUGUGGGACUUGGGGAAAGAGGGGGAGGCUCCCACCAUGGAAGAGACAGAAGGUGAAGACGUUGAAAACAUUACACCGCACACACUGUCAUCACAUUUUCACAUGCUCAAUCGAUAUUUUUUGCUGCUUCCUCGGCCCAGGGAUAAAGCAUGUCAGGACAGAGCUGUUGGAUUGGCUUUGAUAGAGGAAGGAGAAUGACAUAAUUUCACAGCAUUCCUGAGAAUGAAUUUUUGUAUGAUUUCAUACAGGGAUAAGGUGGUGGGCAACUUGGAGCCAGAGAUGACUGCAGUCCAACAGCAACUCCCUGCU